CCUAAUCCUCGUUUACCUCCCGCCGCUGCUCCUUCGUUCACUUUAUCCGUUUCUGGCAUGGUGGUUCCGGCGGCGAAUUGUGCCGCUCCGGCCACCUUAGGUGGUGCGCCGACCGCCGGCUGCUCGUUGCCCCGGGCGUAUGCGACCAAUUCCCGGUUGCCCUCGGUGGCGACGACGGUUACUAGCCCUCCAUCCGUUCCUACAGCCGUGGCGGCGUGGCCCUUGUUCCACGGCGGACGGUUGGGCACCGAUUUGUGCUUCGACUCCCACCAGUACGGAUACCCCACCAACUCAAAGCAUUGAUCUUUGGUGUGUCUUCGUUUUCCACAGUUCGAGCACACCAGCUUCGAUCUGUCUUCCUCUGUUCGUCGGUCUUCGGGGCGCCGUUGAUUCCAACCUCCGUUGCCGCCGCUGCCGCGAAGAGCGCUGGAGUGGCUUGGUCGUCCUCUGUCUCUUGCUGUGAACAGCCCUGCUCCAAUCCCAUCUCCUGGGGAUUUCACCUCUGAGGUCACUUGCCGUCCAAAUCUCAUUGAGAUCAUUCCACACUUCCUCCGCCGCUUUUAUAUGUUACAGCUAGGCUGUCCCAUAUGUGUUUCGCAGUUGGUUAUUGGGCAACUCGGUUGACUAGCUUGGUCUCGAUGUUCUGGACUAGCCACGUGAAUACACAGUGAUCGGCUUCCUACCACUGUGUAAACGUUGGAUCUAUACUCGACGGUGGGGUUGGAACUCCGGUGAUGUGAGAUACCAUCCCCCGCCCGCUGAUUGCGUUGUGCAUCAGGAUGGACCACAACGGAUAAAUUCUCUCCGUUGAGUUUAAACCCUUCUGUCAAGGGCUGAGAAUCGGUUUUGUACGGGGCUUUUUCUGGUUUGGUUUCAUGAAUUUCUGGUGGUUGGUUUUGCAAAAGGCUUCUACGCAUGUAGUUUGAGAAGAGGCGUGCAAACUCAUCCGCUUCGGAUGUGUUCUGGCCACCGAUGAUUUUUUCAUUUUCUGACAUAGCUUUUUCUCGCAGGUUCUUGGUCAAGAUGUUCGAGAAAGGGUUUUAUGAGCGAUGGUGAUUCUGUUCUGUGCUCUCAGAAUCGUUGGCUCUGAUGCCAUGUUAAAUGGCCAAGAAGAGAGUUUUUUGGUGUAAUGUGUUUUGUCAUUACGUUUAUAGGAGCCCUUUAUAUAGGGUGAAUUAAUCAUGUACUCCCUCCGUUCCAAUAAAUAUGAAACGUUUGCUUUUCGGCAUGAGAUUUUAUGUAGUGUUGGUUUGUGAGUUGAGUGUAGAGAGAAUAGAACAAGAGAGGGAAAAAGUAGAGAUGAGGUUUUUUUAAUUUUAGGAAAUGUUUCAUUUUUAGUGGGACAACCCAAAAAGGAAAAGGUUUCAUUUGUAGUGGGGGUACAUGGUAAGGGAAUAAUUUAUUCUAUAUCAAUCCCCUAAUUUUGGGAAUUGGUGAUUUCCUCUUCAAA